GACAGAGGUGCCGAGCGUUAGGCGCAAUCACUGGGCUUAAAGCGUGUGUAGGCGGGCCGUUAAGUAUCUUGUGAAAUCCCCCGGCUCAACCGGGGAAUGGCUGGAUAUACUGGCGGUCUUGAGCGAUCUAGGGGCAGAUGGAACAAGUGGUGGAGCGGUGAAAUGCGUAGAUAUCACUUGGAACGCCAAAGGUGAAAACAGUCUGCUGGGGAUCUGCUGACGCUGAGACACGAAAGCCAGGGGAGCGAACGGG
rnacentral:rRNA from 1 species